AACUUGGUGGUCUAGUGGUAAGACAUUUGCUCUAGCAAUGCAAAGGUUGUGGGUUCGAAUCCCACCCGAGUGA